AUAGCGGUAGCCGAAAAGCUUUUAGAGUAGGCG
rfam:Chryseobacterium molle strain DSM 18016 genome assembly, contig: Ga0131196_105